AACCUGCCUUUGAGAAGGGGAUAACUGUCCGAAAGGAUAGCUAAUACCCUAUAUUGCCUUUUGUCACUAAGGCAAAAAGUGAAAGCGAGGCUGUCAAAGGCUUCGGCUCAAAGAGGGGUUCGCGUCCUAUCAGGUAGUUGGUGGGGUAAUGGCCUACCAAGCCAAUGACGGGUAGCUGGUCUUAGAGGAUGAUCAGCCACAGUGGGACUGAGACACGGCCCGCACCCCUACGGGGGGCAGCAGUGGGGAAUCGUGGGCAAUGGGCGCAAGCCUGACCCCGCAAUGCCGCGUGAGGGAAGAAGCCCUUCGGGGUGUAAACCUCUGUCAGAUGGGAAGAUGGGACUAGGGGCUAAUACCUCCUGGUCUUGACGGUACCAUCAGAGGAAGGGACGGCUA
rnacentral:rRNA from 1 species